CAAUAGCGUAUAUUAAAGUUGUUGCAGUUAAAAAGCUCGUAGCUGGGAAAGUGAAAAUACACUCCGCUUUCUUCAAUGAUUGCAGAGAAGUGUUCUCAUUUUGACGUAGCGAUGCAUUGCAUUGGUAUGUCACAAAUACUUUGAGCAAACUAGAGUGUUCCAAGCAAACUAUUGUCUUGAAUACUGCGGCAUGGAAUCAUUUGAGAGCAUUCGACGCUCUUCUUGGUUGGGGGUCAAUUGCUGUGACUGAUAGGAACAGCUGGGGACAUUCGUAUUCAACAGUCAGAGGUGAAAUUCUUAAAUUUGUUGAAGACGAACUAAUGCGAAAGCAUUUGUCAAAAAUGUUUUCAUUAG
rnacentral:rRNA from 1 species